UGAGGAAUAUUGGUCAAUGGUCGGAAGACUGAACCAGCCAUGCCGCGUGCAGGAAGAAUGCCUUAUGGGUUGUAAACUGCUUUUAUAUGGGAAGAAUAAGGCGUACGUGUACGUUGAUGACGGUACCAUAUGAAUAAGCAUCGGCUAACUCCGUGCCAGCAGCCGCGGUAAUACGGAGGAUGCGAGCGUUAUUCGGAAUCAUUGGGUUUAAAGGGUCUGUAGGCGGGCUAUUAAGUCAGGGGUGAAAGGUUUCAGCUUAACUGAGAAAUUGCCUUUGAUACUGGUAGUCUUGAAUAUCUGUGAAGUUCUUGGAAUGUGUAGUGUAGCGGUGAAAUGCUUAGAUAUUACACAGAACACCGAUUGCGAAGGCAGGGGACUAACAGACAAUUGACGCUGAGAGACGAAAGCGUGGGGAGCGAACAGGAUUAGAUACCCUGGUAGUCCACGCUGUAAACGAUGGAUACUAGCUGUUUGGCGCAAGCUGAGUGGCUAAGCGAAAGUGAUAAGUAUCCCACCUGGAGUACGCACGCAAGUGUG
rnacentral:rRNA from 1 species